rnacentral:misc_RNA from 1 species
AACGCACGAGACCUGCGGACCUGCGGAGGGAUCAUUAGUGAACGCCCUCACGGGCUUAUAACUAUUCCAAACCUCUGUAAACCGUGCCCUUCGGGGCUAUUUUACAAACAUGGUGUAAUGAACGUCAUAUAUCAUAACAAAACAAAACUUUUAACAAUGGAUCUCU